UCUAAAAGAAUGCAUUGGAUGGAUGACCGGGCAUUGAGAAGGAAGGAUACUUUUAGAGGGAAAAGGACAUAGGGAGAUACAUUUGUAAUCCAUGGAUCUCUAAUCGGGAAAUCGUAUCCAAGCUCUAUGGCUAGUCUGUGCUCUUUGGACUUUUCAAACUUAACAAACUGAAACAUCUUAGUAGCUAAAGGAAGGGAAAUCAACUGGGACCCCAUUAGUAGCGGCGAGCGAGAGAGGAUUGGGGGUUUGAAGAAAAAAACACGAAGCUUUGUUCCUUUCUUUUUAGGCAAGCUACGUCAUUUCUCAGUAAAGUGUUCACUUUUUUUUGCCAAGUUUCAUUUUAUUUGUUGUGGACUGGAUGAUGGAAUAAACAGUAAGCUACGUAUUCAAAGCUUACCUUAUUUAGAAAAGGAUAAAGGGCUUUUUCAUAGAUGUUAAGGUUGAGUAAGGGGGUGGAUCUUGAAGAGAGAAGUGAGCCGUGCUAGACUAGAAAUAUUUUUUAGUAGCAAGCUACAAUCUAGCAACCCCCUAACCUAGGUUGGGGUAAAAACUCCAAAAUUCAAAAUGUUGGUUAGGGUUUCUCUACUUUUAGGCAAGCUACUUCAUUCCAAACCUUUCUCAAAUAAUAAGGUAAGGUUUCAAGCCGCUGCCCUUUAAAGUGGCGGGCGUAAUGAACUAUAAUUGUGAAAAGAUUGGAAGAUCUGGCCAAAGAAGGUAAUAGCCCUAUGGAUUCAUUAUUAUGGUUCAAUCCUUCCAAGUAAAAUGUGGUGUGUUCAAAUUCUGGUUUCUUUUAUGUAAGAAAGGGGGACCACCAUAUAUUACUAAGUAUUCCUCAAUGAUCGAUAGCGUAUAAGUACCAUAAGGGAAAAAUGAAAAGAACUCUAUUUAGGGAGUGCAAUAGAGAACCUGAGAUUCGAUAUGAACAAUCAAUUAAAGGAGAGGAUCUUAGAGCCUUUACUUUAUGUAAAGUUCACUUACUCUAAUGAAAUACCUUUUGCAUGAUGAGUCAAUGAGGAAAUGGGAACAAUGGCUUAAUCUAUUAGGUAUAGGCGCUUUGAAAAGGUGGAAUCUUUUAGUUCUUCCUAUUUGACCCAAAACUGAUUGAUCUAGCCAUGAGCAGGUUAAAGAGAGCUCUAACAAGCCUUGGAGGACCGAACCAACGUAUGUGGCCAAAUAUGGGGAUGACUUGAGGCUAGGGGCUAAAGUCCAACCAAGAUCGGAUAUAACUAGUUUUAUGUAAAUUCUAUUUUAGUAGAGCGUAUGGUGUCAAUAGCUUGAGGUAGAGCACUCAAUGGGCUAGGGUGUCCUUAUUUUGCCUUACCAACCCCAGGGAAAUUCUAAAUACAAUCCUAGAUCAUUUGUACAGACUAAAUUUUUUGGGUGCUAAGAUCCAAAGAUAAGAGGGAAAUAGCCCAGAUCGUACGCUAAGGUCUUUAAGUAAUCACUUAAUAGAAAAUAAAGUGAUCAAGCGAUGACAACCAAGAUAUGGUCUUGGAAGUAGUCAUCAUUUGAAUAAAACAUAAUAACUCACUGGUCUAGAUCCAUGGAACCAAAAAUGUAUUAGGGCUUAAGUGAUUCCCUGAAGCGCCGAGACAUUGAAAGUUACUUUUUCAAGUGUUAGUACCAAAAUAUUCUAUCAAUCGGGGAAGGUUUUUUAUGACAAGACCUGGAGGAUAAUACUGAAAUAAGUAAUGAAAAAUCCUAUGAAAAAUACGAUCACCUUCCAGUGAAAGGUUUUUGUAUUCAGUCAAUCUACAUAGAGUGAAUCGGUCCCUAAGAAAUCCCCGAAAGGGCCUAGUCUGAUGGGUACACAAAAGUGAUACAAUUGUUUUGACUAGAGAACCAUGCUUUUCUGUUGGAGUGAAUUGGGUGAUCGGGAUGAGGGUUUCCUCCUUUUACCCUUAAUCAUUUUUCCCUAAUAUGAACCUUGAGUCAUCAAAGCCUUUCUGAUUCGUCCUUGUCUGGUCACCCUAUGUGACUGGCGCUUCAAAAGGUAAAACUCUCAAUCAUAGUUUGGUGACCUAUCUUUAGUAGGGGCCUUUAGUCUUUUGAUUAGUUUAGGGGUUGUGAGAAAGUAGAGCGUACCGCCCUGCUACAGUCGCAAGUUAGUUUAUAGUUGCACAAAAAAUCUCAUUCUCACUUAUGAAAAGUAAAAAAUGAAGCUGAGCAGUUUUGAGUGAAUGGAUACUCCAAGAUAGAACAAGAAAAAUUGACUUUGAUUAAUUCAACUUAUAAGACUUUGGAAAAAUUAGAAAAUUACAAAAGCAAAAUGGUUCAGUUUGAACAGCAAUGAUGACUAAUCAAGUCCGACAACGAGUUUUCCAACAAGCCUUACGAGGAGCUCUAGGAACACCGAAUAGUUGUUUGAACAAUGAGUUACAUUUAUGUACCAUUAGUUCCAAUAUUGGAAUGUUGGGAACAAUGAAAGAAAUAACUGAUUACCCUUCUAAUCAAGUCCGACAACGAGUUUUCCAACAAGCCUUACAAGGAGCUCUAGGAACACUGAAUAGUUGUUUGAACAACGAGUUAUAUUUAUGUACCAUUAGUGCCAAUAUUGGAAUGUUGGGAACAAUGAAAGAAAUAACUGAUUACCCUUUCUACUGUAGGUAUUCUUUUUUUUUUUCAAAAAAGAAAAAAGAAAGAAUCAUGGUAACCAUUCGAGCUGACAAAAUUAGUAAUAUUAUCCGUGAACUGUUGUCAUAGUCAACAAGGAUGAAACUUCCAAGACAAAACUUUGAAUUAGGAGGGUGAUCCUCUCGGUGAACUGAUCGUACUCCAAACAGACAUAGGUGAACAAGUAGAGUAUACUAGGGCGCUUGAGAGAACCAUGUCAAAUGAACUCAGCAAAAUGAUCUCGUAACUUUGGUAGAAGAGGUUCUCUCUUAUCUUUUGAUUAGGAAAGUCACACAUACCAGGGGGUAGCGACUGUUUAUUAAAAAUACAAGACUCUGAUAAGUGGUAACACAAUGUAUAGAGUCUGACACCUGCCCGGUGCUAGAAGGUCGGAAGAAGAAGUGGUAUAACCUUUGAAUGAAAGCCCUGGUAAAUAGCGGCCGUAAUUCUAACUGUUCUAAGGUAGAAAAAUUCGUUGUUGUAUAAGUAGUGACCUGAACGAAUGGUGUAACGACUGCCCUUUUAUCUCCGAUAUAGACCCGGUGAAAUUGAAUUCUCCGUGAAGAUCCGGAGUACCAAUGGCUAGAUUGUAAGAACCCAUACAUCUUAACUAUAACUUUGCAGUAACAACCUUAAUCAAAUAUGUAGGAUAGGUGGGAGAUGGUGAAACAUAAUGAACAAUCCUGAAAGACCACUCUUUUAUCUAAAGAUGCCUAACCGCCGCACCAAUCAUUUAGAGAGAGGUGAUACCCUGUGAGGUGGGUAGUUUAUAUAGGAUGGAUUCCUCGUAAAGAGUAACAGAAGUGUGCGAAGGUAGGAUUAAGAUAAGAUUUUUCUUGUGAGCGUAAUGGUAUAAGCAUUCCUAACUGUGAGUGCGACUGGUCGAACAGAGAUGAAAUUCAGCCAUAGUGAUCUAGGAGUACCUUGUGGAAGGGCUCUCUCUUAAUGGAUCAAAGGUACGCCAGGUAUAACAGGUUGAUGUCUCUCAAAAUCUCUUAUUGACAGAGUCGUUUGGCACCUCGAUGUCGACUCAUCAUAUCUAGGGGUUGAAGAAGGUCCUAAGGGUUUGGUUGUUCUCUAAUUCAAUUGGUACAUGAGUUAAUUUUAGAACAUCGUGAGAUAGUUUGGUUCCUAUCUACUAUUGGUGUUCAAGGAAGAACUGCGAGGAGCCAACCCUAGUACAAGAAAACUAGGUUGGGCUAACCUAUGGUUUAUCAGUUGUUAUGCCAAUAGCAGCGAUGGUUAGCUAAGUUUAUAUAAAAGAACUGUAAUGCCAUGGGAAUCCCUUCUCUAUAAAAGUUCUUAGAUGAGGAUUUUGAAUAGAACUUUGAUAGGUAAAGGGUAUAAGCAUCACGAGGUGUGAAACGAUUUCAUACUAAACAAAACGACUUUCAGUUU
rfam:Capsicum annuum cultivar Zunla-1 chromosome 9, whole genome shotgun sequence